rnacentral:rRNA from 1 species
AUACGGAGGAUGCGAGCGUUAUCCGGAUUUAUUGGGUUUAAAGGGUGCGUAGGCGGACGAUUAAGUCAGCUGUGAAAUGCCCGCGCUUAACGCGGGAAGUGCAGUUGAUACUGGUUGUCUGGAGUGCCGUUGCCGUGGGGGGAAUGUGUAGUGUAGCGGUGAAAUGCAUAGAUAUUACACAGAACGCCGAUGGAGAAGACACCGAACGAAGGGGUAACGGACGCUGAGGCACGAAAGCGUGGGGAUCGAACAGGAUUAGAUACCCUGGUAGUCCACGCAGAAAACGAUGAUGACUAACCGUCGGCGAUAGACCGCCGGGGGCCAAGCGAAAGCGAUAAGUCAUCCACCUGGGGAGUACGACCGCAAGGUUGAAACUCAAAUGAAUUGACGGGG